UACGGGGGGAGCAAGCGUUGUUCGGAUUUACUGGGCGUAGAGGGCGCGUAGGCGGCGCAACAAGUCACUUGUGAAAUCUCCGGGCUUAACCCGGAGCGGUCAAGUGAUACUGUCGUGCUAGAGUGCGGAAGGGGCUACUGGAAUUCUCGGUGUAGCGGUGAAAUGCGUAGAUAUCGAGAGGAACACCUGCGGCGAAGGCGACCACCUGGACUGAUACUGACACUGAGGUGCGAAAGCGUGGGGAGCAAACAGG
rnacentral:rRNA from 1 species